rnacentral:rRNA from 1 species
AUACGGAGGAUGCGAGCGUUAUCCGGAUUUAUUGGGUUUAAAGGGAGCGUAGGUGGGAUAUUAAGUCAGCUGUGAAAGUUUGGGGCUCAACCUUAAAAUUGCAGUUGAUACUGGUUUCCUUGAGUACGGUAUAGGUGGGCGGAAUUCGUGGUGUAGCGGUGAAAUGCUUAGAUAUCACGAAGAACUCCGAUCGCGAAGGCAGCUCACCGGGCCGGAACUGACACUGAUGCUCGAAAGUGCGGGUAUCAAACAGGAUUAGAUACCCUGGUAGUCCGCACAGUAAACGAUGAAUACUCGCUGUUUGCGAUACACUGUAAGCGGCCAAGCGAAAGCGUUAAGUAUUCCACCUGGGGAGUACGCCGGCAACGGUGAAACUCAAAUGAAUGGACGGGG